AUUCGGGUGUCACUGUCUCCAGUUGCCCCCAGAUGGGACCGUCUAGUUCCAGGAAAACAAGCUCAGGGCUCCCAUAGGUUCUACAUUAUGAUGAGUUGUAUAAUUAUUUCAUUAUAUAUUACAAUAUAAUAAUAAUAGAAAUAAGGUUCACAAUAAGUGUAAUGCUCUUAAAUCAUCCCAAAACCAUCCCCCACCCCUAGUCCGUGGAAAAAUUGUCUUCUACAACACUGAUCUCUGGUGACAAAAAGGUUGGGGAGUGCUGCUCUCCCAUGCCUGGAAGAGUGCUAACAAUUGAGGUGCAAAUCUGAGGAAGAAAUUCAGCAUUCUAAAAGGGACAGGAUGGAAAGACAGGGGAGCCUCUGUGUCCAGGGAUCCAGCCACAUCAACCUUGUCUGUUACCAAAUACACCACACAAACCCUGCCAGUGGUCAGAUGCUGUUGAAGGCAUCCUUUAUCAAAAAUGUUUAAUCAAAUCUCUCAGCCAUAUGAAAUGCUGGCUCCCAUUUCGCCGUCUGCCAUGAAUGCUAGAAAACAUAUGUGAAGGUAACCUGUCAUUCUCCCUUGACUCCAGGACCAUAUCCCAGGAAAUGACAGAGCAACAUAAUGGAAGCAAAUUUAGUCCUUGAAUAUCCUCAUGAAGAAUUGGCUCCCUCCAGCCCAAACCUCUUUUCUCUAAUCUGUCACACAAGAGAAAAAUAAAAUCUAGAUGAUGAUGAUGAUGAUAACAAUGAAGACAACAUUGAUGAUGCCACUUCAUUUUAAGACCUUUUUGUUAGAACAGUUAAGCCAAUUCCUUAACACGAGAUGUUUGUGUCAUAGAAAAUACACCCUGUUGUAGUUCCAAAAUGUGUAAUCCACUUUCACCUUUACAUAGCCAAUCAUCAAAGAGUGUUCUCCACGAUAAUACAUCCUGGAGUUUGUAACUGGCAUGGGGCACUGUGUCUGGUUAUGGUAUUUUCUGUUUUUUUUAAAAAUAGUAUAAAUGAAGUUUCAUGUACUUCAAGAAUCCUCCCCCUAUCCCUUAUUAGUUCAAGACUCAGUGCCUUUUGAUUCUACCAUGCAGAUAGGAUUACAGAUUUUUAUUUUGACUUUUAAAGGUAUUUCCUUAGAGAAAGUCUUCCUCAAAGACUAUCUUUAAAGCAGAUUAUGAAAUUAUUAAUAAUUUUAAAACAUCCUAUUGUUUUAUGUUGUUGCCAAAAUUUUUCUGGAAGAAUAUAUUGAUAAUGCAAGGGCUUAGUCAAUGUUGACCUUUAUGUCAAAUGCUACUCUGAAACAAACGAAGUCAUAGAGAAUUUCUAUAUACCAGUUUUUCUUUUUCAGUACUAGUUUUAGAUAGUGUUGAUGGGCUUUGUUUUAUGAUAAAAUGAUAUUAUAGACUACAGCCAAAGAAAAAUGUAUUGUAAAAAGCAGAUAAAAGCUUUAUUAUUUUUUAAUAAUCUAUACCUGUGACAGACAUAUUUUAACAUAUUUUAUAACAUAUUUCAGAAAAAUAUAGUUUUUAAAAAUAAAAUUAAAAUACAUAAGAAUUUGUUCUUAUAAGUUGCAUUAAGAAAUAAGUUUUUUCACAAUACUAUUUCCAUAAAAGUAACUUACAGUGAAAAGCACUUCAAAUGAUAUGAUAAUCAUCUUCCAAAUAUUAAAAAUUAUAGUUUACUUGAUAAUUUACUCAUACAAAAACACAUCUGUGUAUAUAUAUCUAGGAAUGACAUUUUCUGGACUUAAACAUCAGAUAUGAGGCUUCAUCCUAAUGGAGAGCCUUGUUGUCAUUGUCUGUAUUGGUUGGUGUGUAUGGUUGUUUCUGGAAAAAAAAAAAGCUAUGUAUCUGUUAAAAUAUUAAAAAUAUAUCCACCCCCUUUAAAUAUAAAUGCUACUAUAUCAUUAGUUGAAAUGACACCUUGUGCAGUGGUCUGAUGAGAAGCAGCUCCCAACAGCCAGGAAUAAGUGCACAAGCAAUUUUGGAAGCAGAAAUGCAGACCCAAGAACUGGCAGCCCUGACACAGCCAGGAUGCUUUCCAGGGGUAGACCUCUUGCCUUAGGUUGGCUGCAGAGGUGCUACUCAGAUAACAUCAGAAACUGAGUCCAAAAGAGCAAUUUCCACACCAGCAGUCCAACUAUAGCAGAUGUGAUACUGGUCAUCCAGCAUCACUACCUUAAAAGGUGGGACACAGAUUUAUCAUGCCCCAAAAGUGAAGAAAGUCAUCUAAGUGCAAAAGCUUCCCCUCCCAUCCUAUCCCACCCCAGGCACAGAGAGCCCUCCAAGACAAAGGAGCUAUCGCAAGAGCUCUACUCUCCAUUGCACAAUGUUGUAUUUCAUUAAUUAUAACUUUAUUGUUUUAAUUUUACCUUCCAUAAGAGCUAGAAGAAUAUCUGAAUCAGCCCCAUUCUCUUUUUAUAUCCCAUGAAAACUCCUAGAAAUUAUAUGAGGGGUUCAGUUUUAGGGCUGAACUAAAACAAUGUUUCUCUGCUUCAUUUAAAUCAAGAAAGGCCACUGGUGUUUAUAUAGCCUGAAGGAUUAUGCACUAGCAAGGAUGAUGGCAGGUACUAAUAGAAACUGACUCUGCACUGAUUUGAAAUUCAGUAUUAACCUUUUAUAAUCUAAUGCAAAUAAGUAUCCAUCAAAAUUCAACAAGUAAAAUGAUAUACUCAGAUUUUACUAAGAAAACUAAAUGUUUGGCAGCUCAUUAACUACAAAAAAUAUUACUUAGAUCUUACAAAAAAAUGAAAUAAAUAAUGGAUUCCAUAAGCCUUCCUCAAAUUGUAUAAAAACAGAUUUAUAGCUUGAUCCUGUCAAAUGAUAACUGGAAGACCAUUAAAUUGCUUGGAAAAUGAGAUAUGUUAUUUUCUGCAUGAUGUCGCUUGCAUUAACAAUAAAAAGUGUGCAUUAAAAAU
rnacentral:lncRNA from 1 species